GACGAACGCUGGCGGCGUGCUUAACACAUGCAAGUCGAACGGAAAGGCUCCAGUUUGCUGGAGUACUCGAGUGGCGAACGGGUGAGUAACACGUGGGUAAUCUGCCCUGCACUCUGGGAUAAGCCUGGGAAACUGGGUCUAAUACUGGAUAUGACCUUUCUCCUUAUGGGGUUUGGUGGAAAGUUUUUCGGUGUAGGAUGAGCCCGCGGCCUAUCAGCUUGUUGGUGGGGUGAUGGCUUACCAAGGCGACGACGGGUAGCCGGCCUGAGAGGGUGAUCGGCCACAUUGGGACUGAGAUACGGCCCAGACUCCUACGGGAGGCAGCAGUGGGGAAUAUUGCACAAUGGGCGGAAGCCUGAUGCAGCGACGCCGCGUGAGGGAUGACGGCCUUCGGGUUGUAAACCUCUUUCAGCAGGGACGAAGCGUAAGUGACGGUACCUGCAGAAGAAGCACCGGCUAACUAUGUG
rnacentral:rRNA from 1 species